rnacentral:rRNA from 1 species
UACGUAGGUGGCAAGCGUUAUCCGGAUUUACUGGGUGUAAAGGGCGUGUAGGCGGGAAUGCAAGUCAGGUGUGAAAUUCCAGGGCUCAACCCUGGAACUGCACUUGAAACUGUAUUUCUUGAGUGAUGGAGAGGCAGGCGGAAUUCCGUGUGUAGCGGUGAAAUGCGUAGAUAUACGGAGGAACACCAGUGGCGAAGGCGGCCUGCUGGACAUUAACUGACGCUGAGGCGCGAAAGCGUGGGGAGCAAAC